UGCCCUCGAUUGGAAUCGAACCAACGACACCGGCUUUAGGAGAGCCGUGCUCUAUCCACUGAGCUACGAGGGC
rnacentral:tRNA from 2 species